GGAGCCGCACUAGACGAAGCUGACCGCCUGUUUGCUUUGCUGCCCACUCUCGCCGGCCGGAGAACCAUGGCCACGGCGGCGUGCGUGCGGGUACCUUCUCCGUUCAUGGGCGCACCUCUUCGGCCCCCUUGCCACGUUAUCUCUGCGAGGCGGGGGCCCAGGAGGGCCGGCCUGGCAGUCUCGGCGGCGGCCGCGGCCGGCGGUGGGUCGCCGCCCACCGUGCUCGUCACCGGCGCCGGGGGCCGAACAGGCCAGGUUGUGUACAAGAAGCUGAAGGAGAGGGCGGGCCAGUUUGUGGGGCGAGGGCUGGUCAGGACCCAAGAGAGCAAAGGCAAAAUCGGAGGUGGUGGCGACGUGUUCAUCGGCGACAUAAGAGAUCCCGAGAGCAUCGCUUCUGCGAUCGAGGGCGUCGACGCGCUCAUCAUCCUCACCAGCGCGGUGCCCAAGAUGAAGCCGGGGUUUGAUCCUAGCAAAGGAGGGCGCCCCGAGUUUUACUUCGAAGAAUGGAGUUCUCCUGAGCAGGUGGAUUGGAUUGGCCAAAAAAAUCAAAUAGAUGCUGCCAAGAGCAUUGGUGUAAAUCACAUAGUUUUGGUUGGAUCGAUGGGCGGAACAGACAUCAAUCACCCAUUAAACAAGUUAGGAAAUGGGAAUAUACUGGUGUGGAAGCGCAAGGCAGAACAGUACCUGGCAGACUCUGGUCUUCCAUAUACAAUUAUAAGGGCUGGAGGUUUACAAGACAAAGAUGGUGGCUUGCGAGAGUUGAUUGUUGGGAAGGAUGAUGAGAUCCUGAAAACAGAAACAAGAACUAUUGCCAGGGCAGAUGUUGCAGAAGUUUGCCUACAGGCCUUGCUAUUUGAAGAGGCAAAGUUUAAGGCAUUUGAUCUGGUAUCAAAACCUGAAGGCGAAGGGACGCCAACUACGGACUUUAGGGCCCUUUUUGCACAAGUUAAUAGUCUUUUCUAAGAAGAUAAGAUUGUUCUCGCCAAGAAAUGAGGGCAACUUUUUAUAGCGCAAUAUAAAUUUGUAUUGAGUAAGGAUUGCUUGAUUAACAGGAAGUUGCUUGAACCCAGCCUUGAGACUUCUCGCUUGCCACUGUUUGUAAGUCUCUGGCCUCUCAAUCCUUUCUGCACCUUCGCAUGCUACAACAUUAAGAACAUCCGUCCCAAGGAGAUCCCUCUCUAUUAAUAUCCUCGCCUCAUCAUUCUGAGCUACAAUUGUGUUGUACAUGUCAAACAGUGAAGAGUAAUGGAACAACACCUCUCUGAAUCGUGGAAGAAAGAAGGGGGAGUUGUAGGAUCCAUUUAUGAUGCCAAGAAUGAAAACCUCUGGAUUAAUCUUUUUCAUGAUACGCAGUACUC